rnacentral:tRNA from 1 species
GACCGCGUAGCUCAGUUGGCAGAGCAUUGGGCUAGUAUUCCAAAGGUCGUAGGUUCGAUUCCUACCGUAGCCA